UGUAUUGGUGGAUUUUAGAGGAUUUCAAGGUGAGACCUAUAAAUACCAAACAGCCUGGGAAAUCUCAUCUCACCCCUAGAAAUUUUGAGCGACUUUGUGUGCUGCUCUCCUCUCCAGAGAAGGGCGCCUUCUACUCCAAAAACAAAGUAGCUUGAAGCCGUUCCCUGCAUUUCAUGUUUGACUCGGCAAGAGGGAGGGGAGGGGGACAUCACGCCUGACAAAUUGGAGAGAGACAAUUGCUCCCGUUUUUGACUCGGAGACAGCUGGGUGUGCCUCUGGCGAGCGUGAGAGAGGGGGACAGAGCGACCACAGAGGAGGGAGACACAGGGCCUGACAGAUUGGAGAGAGAUGGGAGCCUACGGGUUUGGACUGAGCGAGAGAGAGAUUUAGGUAGGUGCUCUGUCAGGAUCUAUGGGAUUUUCUCCCAUUUUAGAGAGAGAGAUGGGCAGGGAGAGAGAUACAGAGCGGAAAGCAUGGGUGUGUGUAUUCUUUAGGGUUAACAGGUUACGCAUAGAGGCGGUGAGGAGAGGAUGGGUGAGGGACGAAUGGCAGGGUUUGUGUUUUCAAUUUUCUCCAUUGAUUGAAAAGAUCCAACACAAGCAUAGAGAUCAAACCAUUCAUUCACACAACAGCCACCAAAUGAACCAUUACUAAGGUCUUUCUGGGAGGUGAAUGUUUUGGAAGAUUUUAUAAAUUUCGAUCAUUUAAGGAAGAAGUUGGUUCCAUGCUGUUUUGAGGAACCCUGAUUCUGGGAGGAAGAAUACGCUUUAUUGCCAUCUUUAGGUUCAUGUACAAGGUAAAGUUCCAUAAGGAGAUGCAAGCAGAAGAAGUAUUGGCAUCACCCUUUAGUUUUUCAACCAAAAGAAGGAACCCUAAUUUUAGGAGGAAGAAUACGCUUCAUUGCCUUCUUUAGCCGUUGGCUGCAUUUCAUGUUUGACUCCGCAAGAGAGAGGGGAGGGGGACAUCAGGCCUGACAAAUUGGAGGGAGACAAUCACUCCCAUUUUUGACUCGGAGACAGCUGGGUGUGCCUCUGGCGAGCGGAGAGAGGGGAACAGAGCGAUCACAGAGGAAGGAGACACAGGGCCUGACAGAUUGGAGAGAGAUGGGAGCUACGGGUUUGGACUGAGUGAGAGAGAUUUAGGUAGAUGCUCUGUCAGGAUCUAUGAGAUUUUCUCCCAUUUUAGAGAGAGAGAUGGGCAGGGAGAGAGAUACAGAGCGGAAAGCAUGGGUAUGUGUAUUCUUUAGGGUUAACGGGUUACGCAUAGUGGUCGGAGAACCGACGCCGUCCACGCUUUAACUAACGAGAGAGAGGUCGAGCAAGGUUUCGUCCAUUUCGGUCAACUUGGGCUACCCCCAGCGUCCGGUAAGAUCCCUCGCCAAUCCCUUCUCUGGUCUAUGUCGUCUUACUCCACCGUUUGCAUCAGGAAUGCCCAUGCGUGGUUUUUUGGGUGGGGAUUUCAGAUUUCAAGGGGGAGAGAUGCUGUGCUUCAUUUCAAUCGGGCCGAGCCUCUAUCUGCAAAUCGAGGCCCUGGUGAAGCAUAAGCAUUACAGGCCUGCAGGAAAGAAGAAGGAAGGAAAUGUCGCAAAGUACGUCACCAGGUGAGAAGCUGUCAAGCAGCUUCAAGUCAGUCUUCCCCUCUUCAGGAAAUUGUGUAUUCUAAAGGGCGUGUUCCCUCGGGAGUUGAACAAAAAGGUGAAAGGAAAUCACCAUACCUAUUAUCACUUGAAGGAUGUUUCUUUCAUUCAGCAUGAACGAGCUGUUGUUUCUCUCAACUCGAGCAGUUGAGAGAGAUAAAAGCAUACGAAAGAAAAGUAAAGAAGGCCAAUGCGAAGAAGAACAAGGAAUGAGCUGCUCUCCUGAAAGAGAGAAUACCCACUUACAAAUUAGAUAGAAUUAUUUUGCAGAGAUAUCCAAAAUUCGUUGACGCACUCAGAGAUAUAGACGAUUGCCUCACAAUGGUUCACCUCUUUGCGGCAUUACCUGCUAUUGAGGACAGAAUUGAUGUCAAACGCAUUCAUAACUGUCGAAGGUUGAGUCAUGAAUGGCAAGCUUACAUAUUUCGGACUCAUAAAUUGUGUAAAGUCUUUGUAUCUGUUAAAGGCAUAUAUUAUCAGGCAGAGGUUAAGGGGCAAAAGGUCACAUGCACUUGCACCAUGAAGUCAAUGAAAUUGGGUUCCAUUUUUCCAGUUUAUAAAAUUCCAUAUCGACGUAGAGGCACUGGGAAGAUGACUCUGUCUACGGAUCAUAAUCGGUAUCUAAUUGGAGAUGAUGAGCACUGCUGGGGCAACAAUGGUGUGUCAAACAUUGAAGUUUUGGAGAAUGUUGUAUUCGAUGACCAUAAUCGAGAAGUUGAUUACUCAGAGAAAUCUGUUACUGGGAGCUUGAAUGACAAUUGGAUUUCAUUGUCGUUGUUAAACAAGAAGCUAAACCGUAAUCAAGGGAUUUGUCGACCUAUUGUGGAAGAUUCUUAUUCAGUUGCUGUUUUAAAUUUGGGCUUCCAUUUGGUUGAGCAUCCUUUUCUCCAAACGGGGAUAGACAGAAGUCCCCGGCAGCAAUCUCUUUGUGAUCAUUGCUGGGAAAAUAUCAUGGUCAUUUUGAGUUCGGAUUCAACUAGCAUGUGCUUGAAUUGUAGAUCUGUGCAAGCUAUCCAUAUAUAGAUCAAUGCUAUGGACUCUUCUCAACCUAUGGACCUCAAAUUUCAGUGCGUCUUUCAUCAUUUAUCCUACCUCACUAUUUCAAGGUGAUGCAUUCAAGUCCCGCAGCAACGCGCGGGCAUAUUUUCUAGUAAAUCCUAUUAAAAGCACGGUGGAUAUCGAAUUGAUGUUUGCUGUUGGAAACUUCAGAAGGAUUUAUGAUGAUGUGUAAUCAAAAAAAAAAUUUCCUUGCGGUGUUUUUUCAAAUGCACUCUUCUGUUCGUAAAAAAAUUUCCCAAUAAAAACAAUAUAGAAGGCCAAAGUUAACCGAGAAUGGGUAUAAGACGAAAAAAAGACAAAUGAGAAUUCAAAGUGGAAUGCUAAUAUAAAGAUUUUGAUUAAAAAAAAAAAAUUGUUCUGAAGUUCGGUGCUUUUAAUUUGAUGUCGAAUUGGAUAUCGAAUUGAUGUUUGCAAAGUUCGGUCAAAAUGUCAACGUA